UUAAAGAGUGGACAAACUAGCCAAAAACACUGUUAAAUAAAGAAAAUAUAGACGCAUUAGCAAUCAUUUGUCUCUCAAAAUCAGAAGGAAAGGGCAUUGUACGGAAGGAAAUCAAGAGUGGCAUCAGCAUAAUUGGGAGAUAAGAGGAAGACAUUCCAUUCAACAUACAUCAGGUGUCAGAAACUGUAGAGUGUGUGCUUGUCAGAGCGACAGUGAAAGAAAGAGAUGAAGGACAUGAACCGAAAAGAUUAGGGCUAACAAGAGCAGGAGUAAAUAAGAACAUAGCCUACUGGAGUGUGGUGGAAGGAGUCUUGGAGGCAAGUGGACAAAGCAGAAGAUGCUCAGCUUCCUAAUGAGAACAGGAGGAAAAUCUGAAAGACUGGACACUGAGUGAACUAACUCCAGUAGAUGGCAGUAGUGCAACAUGGAUGCAAGCUGCCGUUAAACCAGAAGAAGGAAACAAGUAGGGUUAAAAGGGUUUUAUUUAAAUGAAACAGGUUUAAUAUCCAGAAUAGAACUUCUUAAUAAAGUUGUUUUUGUUUUUUA